GGUUAGAGUCCCGCCCACUUGUUAAGCGUCGCGAGCCACUAUUCUCGGCUCUGAUUGGCCAGAGAACUCGCGCCGCUUUUGAAUCCCCACCCUGCGGACCCCGCGCGCCUCGCCUUCUCCCUCUGGUUGGCGAGCGCCUUUCUGCGCCUUCAGGCAUUUUUGCUGAGGCUUUUGUCUGCGCAUGUGCGGCGUUCCUUCACCGGGAUCUUCAUUGUCCCAUGUUGGGCGCCAGGAAUGCUGGGGUGAUCAGACCCAGCACCAGGCCAUGGGGGCUACAAAGUCUGGCAGAGUCAAAGGAAUGAGAAAAGACAAGUUAAAAGUGCAUAAGGUGGGUCCAGGGGUCCAACACUAGUAUGGAGGCUGCGAAGGCCCCGAGCUCUGGAAGCCCGUACUGUUUAUUGGUGAUCAAACAAAGAGGCAGGUGGUGAGGAUGUGGGGGUUGAAAGAAAGCACUGCAUCAAGUGCAUGAUUUACAGCUGUGACAGUUUAGCAUUUUCUUUGAAGCAUAUGGAACAUUUUCUGCUACUUGAGAUAAUGGGAAACAUGUUCUUCUAGUUUAAGAUACAAUUGAUCUAUGAGCCUGGGAAUGCUAGAAACAAGGAGCCGGCAAGUCUAGACACAUUCCAGAGGCCAUGAGGGGUUCCAUGCUCUGAGCCCUGGAUUCCAUCCAAGCCACGAGGGGUUUUAUGCCCUGGGCUUAGAUUAUGGUGCCACAGGGCAGCCUUCCACCCUUUAGCACAGAGCUUGGUGUUCCAAAGGCCAUGAGAGGUUUUAGACCCUGGACCCCAGACAUGUUCCAAGACUCUUUUACAUUAUGUCAGACAUGCAAGCCCUGCCUCAGCUUUUUUCCCAACACUCAGCUUUUCCCCAAUACCUGACCUCAGGUGAUCCACCCACCUUGGCCUCCCAAAGUGCUGGGAUUACGGGCGUGAGCCACCGUGCCCAGCCAGCUAAUUUCUUCCUGAGUAAUCUUUAUUUCUUUUUAAAUCACUCCUCAUCUGUAGCUUUUGUGUUAGUGUCCGAUUCUGAUUAUACCAUUUCGCUGAUGGAUUUGAUGGCUGCUUAAAUGGAAUAUUCCAGUGUUUAAAGAGUUCUUUAUGUACUUUUCCAG
rnacentral:lncRNA from 1 species